GAUGAACGCUGGCGGCGUGCCUAAUACAUGCCAGUCGAGCGAACAGACGAGGAGCUUGCUCCUCUGACGUUAGCGGCGGACGGGUGAGUAACACGUGGAUAACCUACCUAUAAGACUGGGAUAACUUCGGGAAACCGGAGCUAAUACCGGAUAAUAUAUUGAACCGCAUGGUUCAAUAGUGAAAGACGGUUUUGCUGUCACUUAUAGAUGGAUCCGCGCCGCAUUAGCGAGUUGGUAAGGUAACGGCUUACCAAGGCAACGAUGCGUAGCCGACCUGAGAGGGUGAUCGGCCACACUGGAACUGAGACACGGUCCAGACUCCUACGGGAGGCAGCAGUAGGGAAUCUUCCGCAAUGGGCGAAAGCCUGACGGAGCAACGCCGCGUGAGUGAUGAAGGUCUUCGGAUCGUAAAACUCUGUUAUUAGGGAAGAACAAAUGUGUAAGUAACUAUGCACGUCUUGACGGUACCUAAUCAGAAAGCCACGGCUAACUACGUG
rnacentral:rRNA from 1 species